rnacentral:rRNA from 1 species
GAUCAACGCUGGCGGCGUGCUUAACACAUGCAAGUCGAACGAAGUUUUUCUUUCGGGAGGAACUUAGUGGCGGACGGGUGAGUAACGCGCGGGUAACCUGCCCUGUACAGGGGGACAACAGCUGGAAACGGCUGCUAAUACCGCAUAAGCCCUUAGCACUGCAUGGUGCAUAGGGAAAAGGAGCAAUCCGGUACAGGAUGGACCCGCGUCUGAUUAGCCAGUUGGCAGGGUAACGGCCUACCAAAGCGACGAUCAGUAGCCGAUCUGAGAGGAUGUACGGCCACAUUGGGACUGAGACACGGCCCAGACUCCUACGGGAGGCAGCAGUGGGGAAUAUUGCACAAUGGAGGAAACUCUGAUGCAGCGACGCCGCGUGAGUGAAGAAGUAUUUCGGUAUGUAAAGCUCUAUCAGCAGGAAAGAAAAUGACGGUACCUGACUAAGAAGCACCGGCUAAAUACGUG